UAGGGAAUCUUCCGCAAUGGACGAAAGUCUGACGGGGCAACGCCGCGUGAGCGAAGAAGGCCUUCGGGUCGUAAAGCUCUGUUGUUAGGGAAGAACAAGUAUCGGAGUAACUGCCGGUACCUUGACGGUACCUAACCAGAAAGCCACGGCUAACUACGUGCCAGCAGCCGCGGUAAUACGUAGGUGGCAAGCGUUGUCCGGAAUUAUUGGGCGUAAAGCGCGCGCAGGCGGUCCUUUAAGUCUGAUGUGAAAGCCCACGGCUCAACCGUGGAGGGUCAUUGGAAACUGGGGGACUUGAGUGCAGAAGAGGAGAGUGGAAUUCCACGUGUAGCGGUGAAAUGCGUAGAGAUGUGGAGGAACACCAGUGGCGAAGGCGACUCUCUGGUCUGUAACUGACGCUGAGGCGCGAAAGCGUGGGGAGCAAACAGGAUUAGAUACCCUGGUAGUCCACGCCGUAAACGAUGAGUGCUAAGUGUUAGA
rnacentral:rRNA from 1 species